rnacentral:lncRNA from 1 species
CCCGCCUGGGGCAGCUCAGGACCCCGGCUGCACCGCGCUGGCCCGGGACGGGCGGGGACAGGGGGUGGCGGGGCCCGAGCGCUACAAGCCCUGGCGCAGUCCGUUCCUCUAGACAGGCCUCUGGGCGUGUGAUGGGAGGGACUGCCAUGAAGAUCUCUGAAAUGCCCUGGAGACAUUUUCCCCAUUGUCUUGAAGCAAGUCACUAAGUCCAGUCCACACCAAAGGGGAAAAGAAUUAAGUCCCACUUCCCGGAGGAGGUGUAUCAAAGAAUUUGUGGACAUCCGUUAAAACUACCAUGGUAAUUAAUAUUUUGAAGAAAAUGCUUUGAGGCUAUCCAAAUGUUCUAUUGCUCCUUAACAUUUCAUUCACUCUUUUAGCAUUCAUCAGUGGAUCUUGCCUUUUUAACAUAACUAAUGUCAUAUUAUCCAUUGUAUGACAAAAUAUAUAAUGUCAACAAGCUAUUGUGAAAUCAGGUCUUAGAUUGUACUAACCACAAUAAAAUCUACAUGGUCUAGAUGAAUGUAAAAUGUGCUGUAUUCAGGGCUGAUUCAGAGCUGGGACCUGUGGCCAUAUUAGCUUUGAAUUACUGAAAGACUUCUGUCCCUACUCUGUUCUAAGUCCCAUUUCUGCCCAACUCUUGGGAAACAACUCCACAGUUAAAAACAACUUUCUAGACAUUUCUGUUGGGUGCACUGUGGUAUUAUGACAUGAAUUGGUUUUUGUGCACAGUUCGGGGUUCAUAACUCCCACAGUCCUUGUUACAAUCUUUUGUUAUAAUGUUGGGCGUGUUAGGCCUUGGGGCAGGCCUCAGGAAACAGAAUCUCUCUUUCUUCUGCCCUCCUUUCAUCUGCCCCACGGUGGGCCUCUAAUCUACUCCCACCUUUCUGCCUGUGGGUAUUAAGACCCUGUACACACUGAGGGAAGGAAUGCUGACGUCAUGAAGCUUCUAUUAAAAAAACCCAAAAUGGCCAGGUGUGGUGGCUCACACCUGUAACCCCAGCACUUUGGAAGGCUGGGGUGGGAGGCUUGAGCCCAGGAGUUUGAAAGCGGCCUGGGCAACAUAGUGGGAUCUGGCCUCUACAAAAAAAAAAAAAAAAUUACAAAAUUAGCCAAGCAUGGUGGCAAAAGUCUUUAGUCCUAGCUACUUGGGUGACUGAGGUAGGAGGAUCGCUUGAGCCCAGGAGGUCAAGGCUGCAGUGAGCUGUGAUCCACGCCACUGCACUCCAGCCUGGGCCAGAGCAAGAACUUGUCUACAAAAAAAGAAAAAACAUGGCCGAGCACGGUGGCUCAUGCCAGUAAUCCCAGCACUUUGGGAGGCCAAGGCAGAUGGAUCACCUGAGGUCGGGAGUUCUAGAC